AGUGAACGCUGGCGGCAGGCCUAAUACAUGCAAGUCGAACGGCAGCACAGCAGAGCUUGCUCUGUGGGUGGCGAGUGGCGGACGGGUGAGGAAUACAUGGGAAUCUGCCCAGUCGUGGGGGAUAACGUAUGGAAACGUACGCUAAUACCGCAUGCGCCCUAAGGGGGAAAGCCGGGGACCGCAAGGCCUGGCGCGAUUGGAUGAGCCCAUGUUCGAUUAGCUAGUUGGCGGGGUAAAGGCCCACCAAGGCGACGAUCGAUAGCUGGUCUGAGAGGAUGAUCAGCCACACUGGAACUGAGACACGGUCCAGACUCCUACGGGAGGCAGCAGUAGGGAAUAUUGGACAAUGGGGGCGAACCCUGAUCCAGCCAUGCCGCGUGAGUGAAGAAGGCCCUCGGGUUGUAAAGCUCUUUUGUCCGGAAAGAAAAGCAAUCGGUUAAUACCCGGUUGUUCUGACGGUACCGGAAGAAUAAGCACCGGCUAACUUCGUGCC
rnacentral:rRNA from 1 species